rnacentral:misc_RNA from 1 species
UUAACUAUUUUAUAGUACUCAGACAAUAUUUGAUACAGAGUUGGGGUCCUCUGGCGGGCACGAUCCAGCCGAAGCCGGUGCUUGCGCGGCCCACCAAAGCAACAAAUUAAGAUAAUCAAGGGUUAGAAGGACCGGUUGCCCGGCUUCAUUAUUAAUGAUCCUUCCGCAGGUUCACCUACGGAAA